GAAACACCUAAAAAAUAAGCUUCUAACUUACUUUUAAAGCAAUUCAAUUUGUUUGUGUUUCU
rnacentral:tRNA from 1 species